ACACGCUGGUAAUUGCAUAGCAGGAGCUGCCUUUUCAGCAGAUCUGACUGAAGCAACAUUGCCCAGACCUAUGCCAUCUCUAGGGUUGGCACAUAAGACAUAAACGGUCAGGGUUUGGGUUCCGCUGGGAACCUGAGGAACUGAGUGACCUGGUGAAGUCACUCCCCUCGGUGGGUGAGUCCCAGUACGGCCGGCCGGUGCCUUCCUGGCCUCUCCUGGGACUUUCUGAGUCCCGUGUUCGCCUCUAUUUAAGGCAAGUUGCAGACCUUGGUGACUCCUCGAAGGACACUCCCUUCCUAAGAGCUGCCAGCAAAUUCUUCUGAGGGCUGCUCCCUGUGGUCCAGACAGGCUGGAAAGCCACUGUCUGAGCUCUAGGAAGCCACUGGGCCCCGCCACUGUUCACCUGAGGAUGGGCUACUCUCACUGACAGCAGAUGGUUCUCAACGGAAGAGUCUCCUAGACGGGGCUGCUCUCUGGAUUUCUGCCCCUCCCAGGUCACCCCAGGCCUCCUCUCCAGGGGUGCUCAGGGGAGUGAGAAAAGCCGGGCAUGCCGUGCUCUAUGCCAGGAUGUGCUCUGUGCCAUGGGCUGUGGUAAAAAAGAAAUGCCAGAAGCCACUUCAACAGCAAAGUACUCAAAGACUGAUGAAAUUAUGAUUUAUUUUAGUUAGAUUUUAUUUUUGUUUAUGUGUAUUAUUACUUUCUGUUAUUAGUAUUAAUCUAUAAUUAGUUAAAUUAGAGCGCAUUCAUAUUGCGGAAUGCAGCAGCUACAAAGAAUGAAGUAAGCCA
rnacentral:lncRNA from 1 species